CGAGGCAGAUGCGGGAGCUUCCACCCUGGGAGGCUGAGAGGGCGGCCGGGCAACGGCCGGUGCCGCCGACCGCCUGAACCUGUCCGGGUAAUUCCGGCGUAGGGAGUGAUCAAAGGUGGUGC
rnacentral:ncRNA from 1 species